AUUGAACGCUGGCGGCAUGCCUUACACAUGCAAGUCGAACGGCAGCACGGAGCUUGCUCUGGUGGCGAGUGGCGAACGGGUGAGUAAUAUAUCGGAACGUACCCUGGAGUGGGGGAUAACGUGGCGAAAGUUACGCUAAUACCGCAUACGAUCUCAGGAUGAAAGCAGGGGACCUUCGGGCCUUGUGCUCCUGGAGCCGCCGAUAUCUGAUUAGCUAGUUGGGGGGGUAAAGGCCUACCAAGGCAUCGAUCAGUAGCUGGUCUGAGAGGACGGCCAGCCACACUGGAACUGAGACACGGUCCAGACUCCUACGGGAGGCAGCAGUGGGGAAUUUUGGACAAUGGGCGCAAGCCUGAUCCAGCAAUGCCGCGUGAGUGAAGAAGGCCUUCGGGUUGUAAAGCUCUUUUGUCAGGGAAGAAACGGGGUUGGCUAAUAUCUGAUCCUAAUGACGGUACCCGAAGAAUAAGCACCGGCUAACUACGUGCCAGCAGCCGCCGUAACAC
rnacentral:rRNA from 1 species